AGCGGGUAAUCCCGCCUGACCUGGGGUCGCGUCGAGAGCAUCGUCUUUGUGGACGACGUUCAGAGGGUCGACAUGGGAGUCCUCGCUUGCUCGCUCGCUCGCUGGGAGGAGGUGCGCGGGCUGAGGUCGCGACGCGGUACCGAGGUUGGAUCAACCACCGUAGUGUCGCGACGCCAGGCGCCGGGGACUCGAAUUUAAGCCAUCCGCGCGACGGUGCGCACGGGAGGCCAGCGUGUGCCCCCUCCUGCGCAACGAACCCGAGUGGGGGUUGCGUGGGGGGGCAGCGAUGCGUGACGCCCAGGCAGACGUGCCCUCGGCCAGAAGGCUCCGGGCGCAACUUGCGUUCAAAGACUCGGUGGUUCGCGGGAUCCUGCAAUUCACACCAAGUAUCGCAUUUCGCUACGUUCUUCAUCGAUGCGAAUACGACAAGAAUGUUCCGCCCCCCGCGCGCCGAGACCGGGGCAAGGGGCGGGCGAAUUCGUUUUAGUUCCUUGGCGCGACCUGCGCCGGGGUUUGGUUUAGGCACCGAGGAGGGGCACGAGUGCUCCCCCCCGGCACGGAAGGUUUGUAAACGCGUUCGCGGGUCGUUUGAUGUUUAGGCAUCGACAAUGAUCCUUCCGCAGGUUCACCUACGGAAACCUUGUUACGACUUCUCCUUCCUCUAAAUGAUAAGGUUCAGUGGACUUCUCGCGACGUCGCGGGCAGCG
rnacentral:misc_RNA from 1 species